AGCGAACGCUGGCGGCAGGCUUAACACAUGCAAGUCGAGCGGGCAUCUUCGGAUGUCAGCGGCAGACGGGUGAGUAACACGUGGGAACGUACCCUUCGGUUCGGAACAACUCUGGGAAACUGGAGCUAAUACCGGAUACGCCCUUAUGGGGAAAAGUUUACUGCCGAAGGAUCGGCCCGCGUCUGAUUAGCUAGUUGGUGGGGUAACGGCCUACCAAGGCGACGAUCAGUAGCUGGUCUGAGAGGAUGAUCAGCCACACUGGGACUGAGACACGGCCCAGACUCCUACGGGAGGCAGCAGUGGGGAAUAUUGGACAAUGGGCGCAAGCCUGAUCCAGCCAUGCCGCGUGAGUGAUGAAGGCCUUAGGGUUGUAAAGCUCUUUUGUCCGGGACGAUAAUGACGGUACCGGAAGAAUAAGCCCCGGCUAACUUCGUG
rnacentral:rRNA from 1 species